rnacentral:rRNA from 1 species
GACGAACGCUGGCGGCGUGCCUAAUACAUGCAAGUCGAGCGGACGGAUGGGAGCUUGCUCCCAGACCGUCAGCGGCGGACGGGUGAGUAACCCGUGGGCAACCUGCCUGUAAGACUGGGAUAACUCCGGGAAACCGGGGCUAAUACCGGAUAACUCUUUCCCUCACUUGAGGGAAAGCUGAAAGAUGGCAUCUCGCUAUCACUUACAGAUGGGCCCGCGGCGCAUUAGCUAGUUGGUGAGGUAACGGCUCACCAAGGCGACGAUGCGUAGUCGACCUGAGAGGGUGAUCGGCCACACUGGGACUGAGACACGGCCCAGACUCCUACGGGAGGCAGCAGUAGGGAAUCUUCCGCAAUGGACGAAAGUCUGACGGAGCAACGCCGCGUGAGUGAUGAAGGUUUUCGGAUCGUAAAACUCUGUUGUCAGGGAAGAACAAGUACCGGAGUAACUGCCGGUACCUUGACGGUACCUGACCAGAAAGCCACGGCUAACUACGUG